GUUGAACGCUGGCGGCGUGCCUAAUACAUGCAAGUCGAACGCAGUGGGGACGGGUGAGUAACACGUGGGUAACCUGCCGUCAGAGGGGAUAACACUUGGAAAAAGGCGCUAAAACCGAAAGUGAUGGAUGGACCCGCGGGGCAUUAGCUAGUUGGUGGGGUAACGGCUCACCAAGGCCACGAUGCAUAGCCGACCUGAGAGGGUGACCGGCCACACUGGGACUGAGACACGGCCCAGACUCCGACGGGAGGCAGCAGUAGGGAAUAUUCGGCAAUGGACGAAAGUCUGACCGAGCAACGCCGCGUGAGUGAAGAAGGCUUUCGGAUUGUAAAGCUCUGUUAGUAGGGAGGCGGUAUCUAACGAGAAAGCCACGGCUAACUACGUGCCAGCAGCCGCGGUAAUUC
rnacentral:rRNA from 1 species